UACGUAGGGUGCAAGCGUUGUCCGGAAUUAUUGGGCGUAAAGAGCUCGUAGGCGGUUUGUCGCGUCUGCUGUGAAAACCCGAGGCUCAACCUCGGGCCUGCAGUGGGUACGGGCAGACUAGAGUGCGGUAGGGGAGAUUGGAAUUCCUGGUGUAGCGGUGGAAUGCGUAGAUAUCGAGAGGAACACCUGCGGCGAAGGCGGGUUGCUGGGCUGACACUGACGCUGAGGCGCGAAAGCUAGGGGAGCGAACGGG
rnacentral:rRNA from 1 species